GCUGCAGUGGCUGGGGCAGGUGGCGCCCGGCUUCCGUCCGGGCGGCGCCGGGACGAUGCCGGUCACCGGCUCC
rnacentral:tRNA from 1 species